GAAUAUUAGUCAAUGCUCGAAAGAGUGAACUAGCUAACUGAAAUCAAUUAUAAUAAUUGAUAACAUAAGGGAAAAUAAUGAUAUUACCUUAUUAUUAGUGUCGUCCAAAACUGGUGCCAGAAGACUCGGUAAGGCCAGAGACACAAACGUUAAUCGUCUUAAUCAGGCGUAAAGGGUUUGUAGGCAGCUUUAAAAUUAGAUUAUUAAAUUAAAUAAAUAAAAAUUAUUAAUUAAUAAUUAAAGACAAAAAGCUAGAAUCAAAAAGAGGAUAUAUUAAAGAAUGCUUAGAGUAGGUCUGAUAUCCUUAGAUACUAAGUAGAAUAUUAAAGGCGAAAGCUUUUUUCCAUUAAUGAUUGACGCUCAGAAACGAAGGUGAGGAUAGGAAAUAGGAUUAGAUACCCAAAAUACCCCUCUCUGUCAACGAUGAAUGGUAAUUAUUAGUAAAAAUUUUAUUAAUGAUAAUGUUAACACGAUAACCAUUCCGCCUUGUGAGUACAACUGCAAAGUUGAAAACAAAAAAAUUAGUCGGUUUCGGAGCAAACGAAGUGAAGCAUGUUAUUUAA
rnacentral:rRNA from 1 species